GGUAAUAGGUGACAGACUUGUUAG
rnacentral:siRNA from 1 species